rnacentral:rRNA from 1 species
UGGGGGAUAUUGCGCAAUGGGCGAAAGCCUGACGCAGCGACGCCGCGUGGGUGAUGAAGGCCUUCGGGUCGUAAAGCCCUGUCGAGGGGAACGAAACGGUCUCGACCCAAUACGUCGAGAUCCUGACGGUACCCCUAAAGGAAGCACCGGCUAACUCCGUGCCAGCAGCCGCGGUAAUACGGAGGGUGCAAGCGUUGUUCGGAAUCACUGGGCGUAAAGGGCGUGUAGGCGGUCCGCUAAGUCUGAUGUGAAAGCCCGGGGCUCACCCCCGGAAGGGCAUUGGAAACUGGCGGACUCGAGUCCCGGAGAGGAAGGUGGAAUUCCUGGUGUAGCGGUGAAAUGCGUAGAUAUCAGGAGGAAUACCGGUGGCGAAGGCGGCCUUCUGGACGGUGACUGACGCUGAGACGCGAAAGCGUGGGGAGCAAACAG